rnacentral:rRNA from 1 species
UACAGAGGUCCCGAGCGUUGUUCGGAUUCACUGGGCGUAAAGGGUGCGUAGGUGGUGAGGUAAGUCGGAUGUGAAAUCUCGGAGCUUAACUCCGAAACUGCAUUGGAAACUACCUCGCUCGAGGGUUGGAGGGGGGACUGGAAUGCUUGGUGUAGCAGUGAAAUGCGUAGAUAUCAAGCGGAACACCAGUGGCGAAGGCGAGUCCCUGGACAACUCCUGACACUGAUGCACGAAAGCUAGGGGAGCAAACAGG